UUUAAGUGUGACCAUAAAUUUUCGCGUCCAACUUUAAUCAUCUGUCUCAUUUGAAUUUUUUUUAUAAUUAGUAUUUUUAUUGUUAUGAGAUGAUAAAACAUGAAUAGUACUUUACUCGUGGUUUAUGUUUUUAAUUUUUUUUAAAAAAAAUAUCAAAUAAGACGGACGGUUAAAGUUGGACGCAGAAAACCAUGACUACAUUUAAA
rfam:Oryza rufipogon genomic scaffold, chr01